rnacentral:lncRNA from 1 species
AUCAAAAAGGAUAAGGAAGAACAUUUCAUACUCAUCAAAGGAAAAAUCUAGCAAGAUGAAUUCUCAAUUCUGCACAUCUAUGCUCCAAAUGCAAGAGCACCCACAUUAAAAAAAAAAAAAAAACUUUACGAAAGCUCAAACCACACAUUGCACCUCACACAAUAAUAGUGGGAAACUUCAACACCCCACUUUCAACAAUGGACAGAUCAUGGAAACAGAAACUAAACAGAGACACAGUGAAACUAACAGAACUUAUGGACCAAAUGGAUUUAACAGAUAUUUAUAGAACAUCUCAUCCUAAAACAAAAGAAUAUACCUUUCAGCACCUCAUGGUACCUUCUCCAAAAUUGACCAUAUAAUUGGUCAUGAAACAGGCCUCAACAGAUACAAGAAGACUGAAAUAAUCCCAUGCAUCCUAUCAGAUCACCACAGACUACAGCUGGUCUUCAAUAACAACAAAAACAACAGCAAGUUCAGAUACACAUGGAGGCUGAACAAUGCUCUACACAAUGAUAAUGUGGUCAAGGAAGAAAUGAUGAAAUUAAAGACUUUUUACAAUUUAAUGAAAAUAAAGGCACAUCAUAACCAAACUUCUGGGACACAAUGUAAGCAGUGCUAAGAGGAAAACUCAUAGCUCUAAGUGCCUCCAAAACUAAACUGGAGAAAGCAUACACUAGCAGCUUGACAGCCCACCUGGAAACCCUAGAGCAAAAAGAAGCAAAUACUCCCAAGAGGAGUAGCUGGCUUGUAAUAAUCAAACUCAGGGCUGAAAUCAACCAAAUAGAAACAAAAAGAACUAUAGAAAGAAUCAACAAA